ensembl:rRNA 5S_rRNA 5S ribosomal RNA
GGUUGCAGCCAUACCACCCUGAAUACGCCCGAUCUUGUUCGCUCUAGGAAGCUAAGCAGGGUCGGGCCGGGUUAGUGCUUGGAUGGGAGACCGCCUUGGAAUACCAGGUGCAUUGU